GUCCCCUUGAUCAAGUUGAUGAUUGAAAUGCUCAUCAUUGUCUCUCCACAGCAGUGUCCACCGUAAGUUUGGAGGAGCUGCUUGUUCGUUCACCUACAUUACAGAAGCAGGUUAUGUCUAUAUUUACAGAAAAAUAAACAGCAAAUACAGACACAAGAGUCAGAGCUUAGAGUAGGCAAAUGCUUGCGUCUUUUUUAGCAGUAGUAAAUACAUUACAGAAGAAAAAUAUUAACAUGCAAUAUUUUGCUUAAACAUCCUAGGUACCCAAAUAAUCAUGGCAGGACAGGCAGUGACAUGAUGUAUUUAAGGGUUUUGCUCUAUUUAAAUGUAAGUAACAAAUAAAUAUGGAAGAUCAGUGGUUGUGGAAUGAAGUCCAUCUAACAAAUAAAUCUUAAAUGGAAGAGAGUAUGACCGAUCGAACAUCUCCAGAUGGGAGAAUAGGAAAAUGGCACAAUGCAUGCACUCAAACAUGAAAAUGUUUAAAACUAAGCAUAGGAACAACCUANNNNNNNNNNAACCUAGGACAGGAGCUGAGAAGAGGAGGAGGGGGAGAUCACCUGCGGCUGCGGCUGUGCUGGUACUGGGACAGGAGCUGCCACCACGACGGCAGCAGCAGGGCCCCUCUAAUGCCCCUGGGCGCGGCCAGGGCCGCCACGCCCUGCUCGAGGACCACGCUCGACUGCGGCCAUCUCCCUGUGCUCGUGCUCGAGGUCGACGUCGAUCUGCAGCAAUGGCGUCUCACCAAAUCAAUGGGAAAUAGAGCAAAACCCUAGAAAUGUCAAGGAAAUGGGGGAGGAGGAAGAGAACCAACCGACAAUGGGGGCAAUCGAAACGCGGAUCCUCGGGGUCGGGGUUGUGAGCAGGGGCAAGGCGAGAGGAAGGGGCGAUGCCGGGUUUUAUACCGGCGGUAGUUCUGGCCCACGUGUCAGAGUGCUUCAUCCUCCCGUCCUGCGGCGGG
rnacentral:lncRNA from 1 species